rnacentral:rRNA from 1 species
GAUGAACGCUGGCGGCGUGCCUAAUACAUGCAAGUCGAGCGAACAGAUAAGGAGCUUGCUCCUUUGAAGUUAGCGGCGGACGGGUGAGUAACACGUGGGUAACCUACCUAUAAGACUGGGAUAACUUCGGGAAACCGGAGCUAAUACCGGAUAACAUUUAGAACCGCAUGGUUCUAAAGUGAAAGAUGGUUUUGCUAUCACUUAUAGAUGGACCCGCGCCGUAUUAGCUAGUUGGUAAGGUAACGGCUUACCAAGGCGACGAUACGUAGCCGACCUGGGAGGGUGGUCGGCCACACUGGAACUGAGACACGGUCCAGACUCCUACGGGAGGCAGCAGUAGGGAAGCUUCCGCAAUGGGCUAAAGCCUGACGGAGCAACGCCGCGUGAGUGAUGAAGGGUUUCGGCUCGUAAAACUCUGUUAUUAGGGAAGAACAAAUGUGUAAGUAACUGUGCACAUCUUGACGGUACCUAAUCAGAAAGCCACGGCUAACUACGUGCCAGCCGCCGCGGUAA